rnacentral:rRNA from 1 species
AGUUUGAUCCUGGCUCAGAACGAACGCUGGCGGCGUGGAUAAGACAUGCAAGUCGAGCGCUGAUUUGAAGGUAGCAAUAUUUUUAAGUCGGAGCGGCGAAAGGGUGCGUAACACGUGGGAAUUUGCCUUGAAGUGCUGGAUAACUCCGAGAAAUCGGAGCUAAUAUGGCAUGUGAUUGUGAAAUCAAAGUCGGGGAUCGCAAGACCUGACGCUUCAAGAUAAGCCCGCGGCCUAUCAGCUAGUUGGUGUGGUAAUGGCACACCAAGGCUAAGACGGGUAGCUGGUCUGAGAGGACGACCAGCCACACUGGAACUGAGACACGGUCCAGACACCUACGGGUGGCAGCAGUCGAGAAUUUUUCUCAAUGGGCGAAAGCCUGAAGGAGCGACGCCGCGUGGGGGAUGAAUGGCUUCGGCCCGUAAACCCCUGUCAUUUGCGAACAAAUUGAUUCACCAAAUACGCGGAUCAUUGAUUGUAGCGAAAGAGGAAGGGACGGCUAACUCUGUGCCAGCAGCCGCGGUAAUACAGAGGUCCCAAGCGUUGUUCGGAUUCACUGGGCGUAAAGGGUGCGUAGGCGGUUGAAUGAGUCUGACGUGAAAUCUCCGAGCCUAACUCGGAAACUGCGUUGGAUACUGUUUAACUUGAGGAAUGGAGGGGAGACUGGAAUACUUGGUGUAGCAGUGAAAUGCGUAGAUAUCAAGUGGAACACCAGUGGCGAAGGCGAGUCUCUGGACAUUUCCUGACGCUGAGGCACGAAAGCCAGGGGAGCAAACGGGAUUAGAUACCCCGGUAGUCCUGGCCCUAAACUGUGCGCGUUUGCUGUAAGUGGAAUCGACCCCACUUGUGGCGUAGUUAACACGUUAAACGCGCCGCCUG